rnacentral:rRNA from 1 species
GGAGUCUAGCAUGUGCGCGAGUCAUUGGGACUCUUAAGCUAAACCUAAAGGCGAAAUGAAAGUGAAGGCGCGCCUCAAGCGCGCGCCGAGGGAGGAUGGGCGCGUCCGCCCGAGGCGACGAAGGCGCACGCGCCCCGCACUCCCGGGGCGUCUCGUUCUCAUCGCGAGAUGAGGCGCACCCAGAGCGUACACGCUGGGACCCGAAAGAUGGUGAACUAUGCCUGGUCAGGACGAAGUCAGGGGAAACCCUGAUGGAGGUCCGUAGCGAUUCUGACGUGCAAAUCGAUCGUCGGAACUGGGUAUAGGGGCGAAAGACUAAUCGAACCAUCUAGUAGCUGGUUCCCUCCGAAGUUUCCCUCAGGAUAGCUGGCGCUCGUCGAGCGCGAGUCUCAUCCGGUAAAGCGAAUGAUUAGAGGCAUUGGGGUCGAAACGGCCUCAACCUAUUCUCAAACUUUAAAUGGGUGAGAUCUCCGGCUUGCUUGAAGCAUGAAGCCGCGAGAUCGGAUCUAGAGUGCCAAGUGGGCCACUUUUGGUAAGCAGAACUGGCGCUGUGGGAUGAACCAAACGCCGAGUUAAAGCGCCUAAAUCGACGCUUAUGGGAUACCAUGAAAGGCGUUGGUAACUUAAGACAGCAGGACGGUGGCCAUGGAA